rnacentral:rRNA from 1 species
AUGAACGUUGGCGGCGUGGAUUAGGCAUGCAAGUCGAGCGCGAACCUCGCAAGAGGUAAGAGCGGCGAAAGGGAGAGUAACGCGUGGGUAUCUACCCUCGGGACUGGGAUAGCUGCGGGAAACUGCAGGUAAUACCAGAUGACGUCCCCGGACCAAAGGUGUGAUUCCGCCUGAGGAUGAGCCCGCGUCCUAUUAGCUAGUUGGUAGGGUAAUGGCCUACCAAGGCAAUGAUGGGUACUGGGUGUGAGAGCACGACCCAGCUCACUGGGACUGAGACACUGCCCAGACACCUACGGGUGGCUGCAGUCGAGAAUCUUCGGCAAUGGGCGCAAGCCUGACCGAGCGACGCCGCGUGUGGGAUGAAGGCCUUCGGGUUGUAAACCGCUGUCAGAGGGGAGGAAUGGGCGGAGGGUAAUCUCUUCGUUUUGACCUAUCCUCAGAGGAAGUACGGGCUAAGUUCGU